UCUGAGGGAGAUCCGACAAUUCUUCUCCUGAAGAUUGGCACCUUGGACAGUUCAGCAGAGAGCUGCUGUUUUCUGAAGCAGCUUUUGGCCUUCUACCUUGACAGUGUCCUUCCUCAUCUCAGGGGCGUUCCUACACACGUUAGGAGACACGCUAGCCGGCUGGGCAAUGGGCUUCUCUUGCUGGCACGCAGCGUUGAGAAUUGUCAUGUAUCUGAGCACUGUGAUUGUGGAGAAGAGGUUCCUGACAAAACGCAAAGCAUCCGGAGUACGUUUGACGGGGUG